ensembl:lncRNA
AUGGAAACAUCACGCUUCCAGGGAAGAAAGCAAUGGAACGUCCCCUUCCAUAUCCUAAAGAUCCCGAUAAACACGUUCAUCAACAUUUAUUUAUUAUGCAGUUCUGUCUGCUGGUCUGGAGGAGGCAGAGGUUUUUGGUCUCCUCAGCACCAGGGACCUCCACGGUUGCCAACCCGCCCCCCCUCUGGUUUUAUUUUAGGAGACCCCCCCCCCCCCCCUCCCCCCCCCCCCCCUCCCCCCCUCCGCCCCCUCCACCCCCCCCACCCCCCCCCCCCCCCCCCCCCGCUGCACUGCAUGGCCACCUCGCAGUGUGCUGACCUAACCAGCCGAACGCCCCGGAACAUCGCAACCCCGUCAUUAUGUGUCUGUCACGGAUGCCAGGAAAAACUCCUGCUGCAACACACUCCCUCUACCGCACACUCCAACACACUCCCUCUACCGCACACUCCAACACACUCCCUCUACCGCACACUCCAACACACUCCCUCUACCGCACACUCCAACACACUCCCUCUACCGCACACUCCAACACACUCCCUCUACCACACACUCCAACACACUCCCUCUACCGCACACUCCCUCUACCACACACUCCAACACACUCCAACACACUCCCUCUACCGCACACUCCAACACACUCCCUCUACCGCACACUCCAACACACUCCCUCUACCGCACACUCCCUCUACCACACACUCCAACACACUCCAACACACUCCCUCUACCGCACACUCCAACACACUCCCUCUACCGCACACUCCAACACACUCCCUCUACCACACACUCCAACACACUCCCUCUACCGCACACUCCCUCUACCACACACUCCAACACACUCCAACACACUCCCUCUACCGCACACUCCAACACACUCCCUCUACCACACACUCCAACACACUCCCUCUACCACACACUCCAACACACUCCCUCUACCACACACUCCAACACACUCCCUCUACCGCACACUCCAACACUCUCCCUCUACCACACACUCCAACACACUCCCUCUACCGCACACUCCAACACACUCCCUCUACCGCACACUCCAACACACUCCCUCUACCGCACACUCCAACACACUCCAACACACUCCCUCUAUCACACACUCCAACACACUCCCUCUAUCGCACACUCCAACACACUCCCUCUAUCGCACACUCCCUCUACCACACACUCCAACACACUCCCUCUACCGCACACUCCAACACACUCCAACACACUCCCUCUACCGCACACUCCAACACACUCCCUCUACCGCACACUCCCUCUACCACACACUCCAACACACUCCCUCUACCACACACUCCAACACACUCCAACACACUCCCUCUACCGCACACUCCAACACACUCCCUCUACCACACACUCCAACACACUCCCUCUACCACACACUCCAACACACUCCAACACACUCCCUCUACCACACACUCCAACACACUCCCUCCAGAGAACACUCAAACACUGCAGAACAAUCCCAUACACUCCCUCUACAGAACAAUCUGCAUCUGCUCCUACGCACUCCCUCUACAGCACUUCCUCGAUACAACACACUCCAACACACUCCUUCUCCUACACACUCCAACACACUCCUUCUCCAACACACUUUCUCUUAAAAACACGCCAACAGAUUCCCUCUACACACUCCAACACACUCAACACAAUCCCUCUCCUAUGUACUUCCUCUCCAACAAACUCCCUCUCCAGCACACUUUAAACCACUCCUUAUGCACACACACUCUACACACUGUAACCUACUCGGCUUCCUACACAUGCCUCACUCCUUCUCCUACACACUCCAACACACUCCUUCUACACACUCCAACACACUACUUAUACACACUUCGACAUGCUCCGUCUACACACUCCAACACACUCCUUCUACCAUUCCCACACACUCCUUCUACACACUCCAACACACUCCUUCUACACACUCCAACACACUCCUUCUACACACUCCAACACACUCCUUAUACACACUCUAACCUACUUGUCUUCCUGCACAUUCCAACGCACUCCUUCUCCAACACAGUCCAACACACUCCUUCUUCUACACACUCCGACACACUCCUUCUCAAACACACUCCAACACACGCCAUCUACACACUGCGAUAA